rnacentral:rRNA from 1 species
UCAUCUUCGGGGGUAGAGCACUGUUUCGGCUAGGGGGCCAUCCCGGCUUACCAACCCGAUGCAAACUACGAAUACCGAAGAAUGUUAUCACGGGAGACACACGGCGGGUGCUAACGUCCGUCGUGAAGAGGGAAACAACCCAGACCGCCAGCUAAGGUCCCAAAGUCAUGGUUAAGUGGGAAACGAUGUGGGAAGGCACAGACAGCCAGGAUGUUGGCUUAGAAGCAGCCAUCAUUUAAAGAAAGCGUAAUAGCUCACUGGUCGAGUCGGCCUGCGCGGAAGAUGUAACGGGGCUAAACCAUGCACCGAAGCUGCGGCAGCGACACUAUGUGUUGUUGGGUAGGGGAGCGUUCUGUAAGCCGUUGAAGGUGUCCUGUGAGGGGUGCUGGAGGUAUCAGAAGUGCGAAUGCUGACAUAAGUAACGAUAAAGCGGGUGAAAAGCCCGCUCGCCGGAAGACCAAGGGUUCCUGUCCAACGUUAAUCGGGGCAGGGUGAGUCGACCCCUAAGGCGAGGCCGAAAGGCGUAGUCGAUGGGAAACAGGUUAAUAUUCCUGUACUUGGUGUUACUGCGAAGGGGGGACGGAGAAGGCUAUGUUAGCCGGGCGACGGUUGUCCCGGUUUAAGCAUGUAGGCGGAGGUUCCAGGUAAAUCCGGUUCCUUGUUAACGCUGAGGUGUGAUGACGAGGCACUACGGUGCUGAAGUAACAAAUGCCCUGCUUCCAGGAAAAGCCUCUAAGCAUCAGGUAACAUCAAAUCGUACCCCAAACCGACACAGGUGGUCAGGUAGAGAAUACCAAGGCGCUUGAGAGAACUCGGGUGAAGGAACUAGGCAAAAUGGUGCCGUAACUUCGGGAGAAGGCACGCUGAUAUGUAGGUGAAGCCCCUGCGGGUGGAGCUGAAAUCAGUCGAAGAUACCAGCUGGCUGCAACUGUUUAUUAAAAACACAGCACUGUGCAAACACGAAAGUGGACGUAUACGGUGUGACGCCUGCCCGGUGCCGGAAGGUUAAUUGAUGGGGUUAGCGG